rnacentral:rRNA from 14 species
AGGAUAGCUGGGAGGCUUUGAAGUGGGAACGCCAGUUCUCAUGGAGCCAACCUUGAAAUACCAGCCUGACAUGUUUGAGGUUCUAACUUGGACCCCUUAUCGGGGUUGAGGACACUGUGUGGUGGGUAGUUUGACUGGGGCGGUCUCCUCCCAAAGAGUAACGGAGGAGCACGAAGGUGCGCUAAGCAUGGUCGGAAAUCAUGCGGUUAGUGUAAAGGCACAAGCGCGCUUGACUGCGAGACUGACAAGUCGAGCAGGUACGAAAGUAGGUCAUAGUGAUCCGGUGGUUCUGUAUGGAAGGGCCAUCGCUCAACGGAUAAAAGGUACUCCGGGGAUAACAGGCUGAUACCGCCC